UGGGGAAUCUUGCGCAAUGGGCGAAAGCCUGACGCAGCCAUGCCGCGUGAAUGAUGAAGGUCUUAGGAUUGUAAACCACUGUCGCGAGGGACGAAGCUCUGACGGUACCUCGAAAGGAAGCACCGGCUAACUCUGUGCCAGCAGCCGCGGUAAUACAGAGGGUGCAAGCGUUGUUCGGAUUUACUGGGCGUAAAGGGCGCGUAGGCGGUGUGUCAAGUCAGUUGUGAAAUCUCCGAGCUUAACUCGGAACGGUCAACUGAUACUGUCACACUAGAGUACAGAAGGGGCAAUCGGAAUUCUUGGUGUAGCGGUGAAAUGCGUAGAUAUCAAGAGGAACACCUGAGGCGAAGGCGGGUUGCUGGGCUGAUACUGACGCUGAGGCACGAAAGCGUGGGGAGCAAACAGGAUUAGAUACCCCCGUAGUCCCUGAGCGGGCUGGCAAGGCGCAU
rnacentral:rRNA from 1 species